GUUAAGCGACUAAGCGUACACGGUGGAUGCCCUGGCAGUCAGAGGCGAUGAAGGGCGUGCUAAUCUGCGAUAAGCGCCGGUAAGGUGAUAUGAACCGUUAUAACCGGCGAUACCCGAAUGGGGAAACCCAGUGUGACUCGUCACACUAUCAUUAACUGAAUCCAUAGGUUAAUGAGGCGAACCGGGGGAACUGAAACAUCUAAGUACCCCGAGGAAAAGAAAUCAACCGAGAUUCCCCCAGUAGCGGCGAGCGAACGGGGAGGAGCCCAGAGCCUGAAUCAGCAUGUGUGUUAGUGGAAGCGUCUGGAAAGGCGCGCGAUACAGGGUGACAGCCCCGUACACAAAAGCGCAUGUGCUGUGAGCUCGAUGAGUAGGGCGGGACACGUGGUAUCCUGUCUGAAUAUGGGGGGACCAUCCUCCAAGGCUAAAUACUCCUGACUGACCGAUAGUGAACCAGUACCGUGAGGGAAAGGCGAAAAGAACCCCGGCGAGGGGAGUGAAAAAGAACCUGAAACCGUGUACGUACAAGCAGUGGGAGCACAGGUUUACCUGUGUGACUGCGUACCUUUUGUAUAAUGGGUCAGCGACUUAUAUUCUGUAGCAAGGUUAACCGUAUAGGGGAGCCGUAGGGAAACCGAGUCUUAACCGGGCGUUAAGUU
rnacentral:rRNA from 1 species